GAAAAAGAAAAGUUCUGAAAAAUCAAAUCAAAGGCACAUGUCCAAGCCCCAUGUGGAAGAAUGGUCAGGAGAGGCACAUCUAUUCAUUUGGUGCACACUUACUGAGCCAUCUACUAUAUACCAGGCACUGAUUUGGGCAUAUUGAUGCCGUGGUGAGACAGGGAAGGCCUCUGCCUUCAUUGGCUUCCGUUUUGGUGGAGGAGGAGUGGGAAGGAGAAACAAAUCAUAGAUGAGGAACCAAGCAUGAGAAAUGCAGAAGAGGUGACUGUUACAAGGGUUAAUAGGCAGGGUUAUGUGAUGUGACACAAAGAGGCGUUUAGCCAGAAUGGUCAAAGAGGACCUCUUGAGGAGGUGACAUUGGGCAAAGACCUAAAUGAUGAGGAGUCACCAUGGGGCUAGAACAGUAAAGAGCACAGCGUGUGCACAGCUCCCGCGGCUGGAAGGAGCCAUUCAAGGAGGCCUGUGGACCAAUGUGGAGAGAGGAAGGUGGCAGGUAUGAAUCAGUUCUAAGAUAGCAGAGGCCUUGAAUGGCAAGGUAGUGAGUUUGGAUUUUAUUCUAAAUGGGAAAACAAAAACAAAACAGUGACUUUGACCUCCUUUCUACCCUAGGUCUGCAGCCCAGAGGGCACCUUCUGCAAACAUGUCUGUGGAUCCCCUAUCCAGCAAAGCUCUAAAGUCUGGCCCGGUUUCCCCUUCCCGGAUUCCUGCUCCCCUUCGGGGUUUUGGAUCAAGUCCAC
rnacentral:lncRNA from 1 species